ACUAGAAUCAGAGCGCUCCAUCAAUGGCCUCUUCCCUUUUGAGUGUUCGUUGCCGAAAUCAAACGGAUCAUUACCAGGCAAUCGGAGAGCAGAAUCGAAAGAAGUAUCUCGCCUCGUCUCGGUGAUGCAAAUAGAGAAGAGAACAGGACGACGAACUCUUAUGUCAUCGAGUUUUGUUCCGAUAACAGAGAGGGGAAGAACAAGGCAGUUGUUCUUGAUGAAGUGAUUGCUUGGGCAACAGAAAAGCAGUUCGUCUUGUGAUUGAGGCUGGUUGGAUUUUCGCAUCUGCUAGGAAUACUGGUAGAAGAAAGAAUUUGAUCAGCUGAAGAGAAUGGCAAAGUCUAAGAAAGAAUUUGAUCAGCUGAAGAGAAUGGCAAAGUCUAAGAAAGAAUUUGGUCUGCUGAAGAGGAAAAGGUAAGAUGGGGAUGGAGUACAAGCUUGUUGGAAAGGCUGUGGUGGUAGCAAAACCAGUGAGACAAUUGUCUGCUGAUUCCCCAUGGGGUGGUGGUUAUCACAUCCCUUAGUUGAUGACAUUACUUUUCAACUGCUUUCAGCUGUGCCUUUUUCCUUUGUGUUUAUAGGCUUUUUGGGAGAAUCAAUCUUAAAUAAAGCUACAAAUGUAUUUGUACGACUCUUCUCAAAUACUUUGGUUUUGCCUCAAUGUUCAAGCUCUUCCUUUCUUGAUUGGGUAUCACUAAGUUUCUUUCGCUUACUUUUUAGUUUAGAGAUAUGAGGUAACUGGAUGGUUGCUUCGGCUAACACAAACUGAUAAAGACGAGUGGUAGGUAGCAAACAGUUACAGAGAUGGGUUCACUUGGCCUCCAAGUUCCAACCUCGCUUUUGUAUUCCACAUUGAAACAAAUUAAAGCUGCAUCCUUCUACAUGUGUUGAAAUGGAGAUCUAUAAUCAUCGCUGAGCCUUGUAGAAUGGGCUUGUAACCAAAGUGGGAAGCUUUAAAGUGCUUGAAGGUUGGUUCUUAUUGGGUUGGGUUCUGUGGAAGACGACCACUGGCUGUUAUGGGGAAAGUUUAAGCUGCUGGGUCUCAUUCAUCUUGAGUCUUUACAGGAGAGUAAAAUUAGCAGUUUUACUGAGUGAAAGAGUGAAAUCAGUCUCAUGCCAAACAUCAUAAAUCAGAUGAGAGUCACCCUAUCAAGUCAGAAAAAGAACUCUUAAUUAAGUCAGAAAAAGAGGAAGGGAAGGAGUGGAUUCUCUCUUGUAUGAGUAUGAUCAACAAUCAAGCCAUAAGAGAAAUGAUAAUCAGGUCUUCCACCAAUCAUACAAAAGCAGCUUCAGUAGCCUAAUAUCAGCACAAGUGGGCGUAAGCGUUUACCUUUACCCGUUUAAUCAAUCCCUGGGAUACUAGGUCCACUCUUUAGCACACCAUAAGAUCGGACAUAUAUUAGGGCUUUAGCCCGAGGGAGAAGGGGUCCCAGAUCGAUUGUACAGUGUUCUUGCUCUCGAGUAUGUCAACCAGUAGUUUUAGGAAAUGGGGUUAUUUUGAGAAAGUAAUAUUAUAGGCUAACAAGCAAUAGAUAACGACAUUGAUAGCGUAUAACUCGAGUAGGAAAAAUUGACAACUAGUCACAACUCCUAAAUAUAUUUUGAGGCAUUUAAACCUGAUUUUAUCAAGUGGUCAUACCCCAUAAAUUAUAAUAAUAAAAUAAUAAAAAACUAGAUAACAUGAAAGCAAGUAGAAAGAGUUCGAAACAGAAUAUGCAGCUAUAUACUACACGUCUUGGACAAACGUUAUGCAGCUAUAUACUACACGUCUUGGACAAACGUGAUCGUAAUAUGUAACCAUAUGCAACACACCUGGAACAAGUAAUGACCGUGAUACUAGCCCUUAGAUCGGAGCGAACUGUACGAGACUGUGGCGGGCUUUACUGAGCAGCGUAACCUCUGCUCCAUUUGAUGGAAGGAUAGUGUUGACGGGUUCUUUCUAGCCCAAUAGUGCCUCGACAGUCACUUUUUAUAUAAAACUGAGGUAAUUUUAUGAACGAAAAGAUAUCAGCGACCAGACUUCAUUGACUAAUACAAGUUGAUGCCCAUUAGCCAAAAGUCUUCUCGAUUACCUAUUUUUCAAUGUUUUUUACCUUGAAAGUGCAGCCCUCCCCACAUGUCUAUUGGGUUAGUUAAUAUGUAUUAAUACACCACCAAAAUCUCUCUAAACCCAUUCAAGUUUUGAGCUUUAUUUUCUCUGCAACCAGAAAUUAAUGGCUUCCCCAAUUGCCUUUGUUCCUUGGAAGGAGGUAGUCUUCUUCGCUUUGCUUCUUCUGGCUUUCAACGUUUCCGCUAGGGAACUUGUUGGAACCAGAAUUGUGGCUCGCACUGUCCGUGAGAUGACAAUAGAGACAAAUGGUGAGAUGGGCAGGAGAUUGAUUGCAAGACAGUUGGAUACCUCUUGGGGAGGAAAUUAUUCUCCUCCUCCCCCUCGUCGUCCUCCUCCUCCGCCUCCUCCUUGUCGUUAUACUCCUCGUCCUUCUCUUCCUCGUUCUCGUCCCGGUUCCCGUCCUCUUCCUCCACGCUGAUCCUCCAAGGGAAAAAAUUUGAAUUGUUUGUGUGUUUUAUCUUUAAUUCCCUUUGUUUUAGCAUGUUUAGAUUUGGAGGAUAAGGAUAUUUAUGUUUUAGCAUGUUUAGAUUUGGAGGAUAAGGAUAUUUACAAGUAAAGUCCUAUGAACUUUCUUUUUUCUUUAAUGGUGUUGUGUGAUUUUGGUCAAGCCAUAGGCGCAAGCCCUCUGGAGUUAAUGACUCAUAUCUUUCUAAACAAUGUUAGUUCAAUUAUGAGAGCUCAAA